CCACCAACAGUUAAUAUUUUCACAAAGGUUUUUAAAAUAAUCUUUAACAAAUUGGGCUGAUCAGGAGAAGAAAUAAAAGACCAAGUUCCACAGGGGGCUAUACUGCUUACUAUUUUGUGCCUACAUU
rnacentral:snoRNA from 1 species